rnacentral:rRNA from 1 species
AGAACGAACGCUGGCGGCGUGCUUAACACAUGCAAGUCGAGUGCGCGCCUGUAGCAAUACAGGUGGCGCACGGCGCACGGGUGCGUAACACGUGGGUAAUCUGCCCUCUGAUGGGGAAUAACUCGCCGAAAGGCGAGCUAAUUCCGCAUAAUAUUCCGGGAACUUAUGUUUCUGGACUGAAAGGCGUAAGUCGUCGGAGGAGGAGCCCGCGCACGAUUAGCUAGUUGGUAGGGUAAUGGCCUACCAAGGCUUUGAUCGUUA